rnacentral:rRNA from 1 species
AUUGAACGCUGGCGGCAGGCCUAACACAUGCAAGUCGAGCGAGCGGCGGACGGGUGCGUAAUGUCUGGGAAACUGCCUGCUGGCGGGGGAUAACUACUGGAAACGGUAGCUAAUACCGCAUACCCUCAGAUGUGCCCCGAUGGGAUUAGCCAGUAGGUGGGGUAACGGCUCACCUAGGCGACGAUCCCUAGCUGGUCUGAGAGGAUGACCAGCAAAACGGGAACGAUGACAGGGUCCAGACGCCUACGGGAGGCAGCAGUGGGGAAGAUUGCACAAUGGGCGAAAGCCUGAGGCAGCAAUGCCGGGGGUGUGAAGAAGGCAUUCGGGUUGUAAAGCACUUUAAGCGGGGAGGCGUUACCCGCAGAAGAAGCACCGGCUAACUCCGUGCCAGCAGCCGCGGUGAUUC